GCGGAUGUGGUGUACGGAACACUACUGUUAUGAUUGAAAAAGAAUGUUGCAACACAAACAGUAAACCGGGGUUCGACUCCCCGUGUCUGCA